rnacentral:rRNA from 1 species
AUUGAACGCUAGCGGGAUGCUCUACACAUGCAAGUCGAACGGCAGCGCGGACUUCGGUCUGGCGGCGAGUGGCGAACGGGUGAGUAAUGUAUCGGAACGUGCCCAGUAGCUGGGGAUAACUACGCGAAAGCGUAGCUAAUACCGCAUACGCCCUACGGGGGAAAGCCGGGGAUCGUAAGACCUUGCACUAUUUGAUCUGCCGAUAUCGGAUUAGCUAGUUGGUGAGGUAACGGCUCACCAAGGCGACGAUCCGUAGCUGGUUUGAGAGGACGACCAGCCACACUGGAACUGAGACACGGCCCAGACUCCUACGGGAGGCAGCAGUAGGGAAUUUUGGACAAUGGGGGAAACCCUGAUCGAGCCAUCCCGCGUGUGCGAUGAAGGCCUUCGGGUUGUAAAGCACUGUUGGCAGGAAAGAAACGUCGCGUGCUAAUACACCGUGGAACUGACGGUACCUGCAGAAUAAGCACCGGCUAACUACGUG